rnacentral:rRNA from 1 species
AGGACGAACGCUGGCGGCGUGCUUAACACAUGCAAGUCACGGGGGCUUCGUAAGGAGCAACCGGCGAACGGGUGCGUAACACGUGAGCGACCUGCCAUACCUGUGGGGGAUAGCCGGCCCAACGGCCGGGUAAUACCGCAUACGAUCUUUCGGGCGCCUGCUUGGGAGACGAAAGCUGGGGGGUAACCUUUGGCGCAGGAUGAGGGGCUCGCGGCCUAUCAGCUAGUUGGCGGGGUAACGGCCCACCAAGGCGACGACGGGUAGCUGGU